GAGAAGGUAACAUCCAAACACACAGCUCAGCUGAUAGCCAGCGUUAUAUGCUAAAAGAAAUCGGAAAAGCUCACUGGGAACUCUGUAAGCUGGCUAAUAACAUAAACGUCGUAUUCGGAGUACAAAACCUGCUGUUUAUGGUAAUAUCGGUUAUUGUGACAACGGGAUUGCUGUAUACCAUUUACGUCGCAUACAUGCUGGAAGAUGAGAUGUUUAACAAUCUUACAGCAAUAAUCCAGCCGCUUGCAUGGACGACCAUUUACAUUUACAAAAUUUGGGUGAUUAACCACUCGUGCGGGCGCGCCAGCAACGAGGCUCAAAGAACUGGAGAAGUUAUUUAUGGUCUCAUGAAACCAUGUGCACAAGAUCAGGAACUUCAAACGAAGAUUCAAGAGUUUUCAGUGCAGAUACUUCAGAAUCCCGUACAGUUUGAUGUCUGCGGAUUCUUCAUUAUGAAUUAUACAUUUAUUCAAGCUGUGAUCGGAUAUAUAACAACCUAUCUGAUAAUCCUCAUUCAGAUGACGGAGGCACCAAAGAUCCAGGCCUCGAAUCAUUCUGCUAUGACACCGGAAGUUGAGCAGAAGAAUAAAGUACAAUGAAAGUCAUAGUGAAGAACAGAUUAGCAGACUUGGAUUGCGAAAAAGAAAUGGUGAUUUGAAGAUGAUUUCAGCCGUCAUCCAUCGGGAUUGGACUACUAAAAUUGUCAUACCAUUAAGAAAAAAAAAAGGUCUGUUCUUUUCAAUAAUUCAAGUUAAUAACGUGAUUAAUAAAACAUUAAUAACUAAACUAAUUCCUUCGAUAGAAUCAACCUUGAUUCAUUUGAGUUUUACUAUAUAAACCAUGAUUUUUCUUUUUCACGUAGUUUGCUUAGCCUAACAGCAAAUGAGUUUCUAACAUAUUCGUAACACAAUGCGGUUAUCGCAACAUUGUGACUUCUGUGUAUAUAUUUGAAAACCCAGAAAUAAAUAUAAAUAGUGAUGUAAUAUCCACUGAUUUUUCUAUCAGCACUGUAGGAUAUAAAGUACCGCGUAAAAUCAAUGAAUAUCAUGAAAAUUAUAGUUUUGUUUGCCAGAAUAUAAAAGAUACACAAGAAAAUUUUUCACUUCUAAAUCAAUCGACUGAAACUUGUUUCUUAUCCAACGCUACAAUAUCACACCAAGGAAAAGUUUGAAAUGUUUCAGAUACAUUGCAUAAUAUUAUAUCGGAAUGGGGAAAAAGUUCAGGGCACAGUAAAUUUUGAAAAAAUG